UUAACAACUUAAUUAUAACUGUUGGUAAAGAAUAUUUUUUUAUUUUUUUAAUUACGUCUGUCAUAAUGUCAUUAUAGUAUAGAUAUAAAUAAGUAUGAAGUGUGAAGAAAAUUAUUGUUAAAUAAGUUAUUAGAUAAGAUGGAAUAUAGAUAUUAUGUAGGCAAUAGUUAUUAGGAGAUAGAGUGCGUGUAUAAAAGGUAAAAUUUGAUACACACUGCGUGAGAGUAAUUUAGGUAAAAAAAUUGACAAAUACAUAAUUCGUCAGUCAUUGAAUUAGAUUCAACGACUAAAAAUUAAUAAAUUUUAUGAUAAUUUGAAAAUAAAAUAAAAAUUAUAUUUUAUAAAUAGUAUAGAUAUAUAGUAAAGAGUUACUAUGUUAUCGGAAGUAUAAAAGAUUUAAUGUUUUCGAUUUUUUAACCCUUAGAUCAAGAAUUGUACAGUUGGGAUAAUUGCGGUCUCCGCUAAGAUUGAGUAGUACGCAUAGUUAGUUAAUUCGGAUUCGGCAAAAAUUCGGUAAAGGUAUAAUUCGGAUAAAAUUCGUCUUCUAAUUUUUAAAUUCGUUGAAAAAAA
rnacentral:lncRNA from 1 species